rnacentral:rRNA from 1 species
UUGAAGUCGAGUUGUUUGGGAAUGCUGCUCAAAAUGGGAGGUAAACCCCUUCUAAAGCUAAAUACUGGCCAGAGACCGAUAGCGCACAAGUAGAGUGAUCGAAAGAUGAAAAGCACUUUGAAAAGAGAGUUAAAAAGCACGUGAAAUUGUUGAAAGGGAAGCGUUUGCGACCAGACUUGCGCCCGUCGAAUCAACCGUCCCUCGUGGGCGGCGCACUUCGGCGGGCUCAGGCCAGCAUCAGUUCGCUGCAGGGGGAGAAAGGCGGUGGGAAUGUGGCUCUUCGGAGUGUUAUAGACCACCGCAUAAUACCCCUCGGCGGACUGAGGACCGCGCUUUUGCAAGGAUGCUGGCGUAAUGGUCGUCAGCGACCCGUCUUGAAACACGA